rnacentral:rRNA from 1 species
AACGCUAGCUACAGGCUUAACACAUGCAAGUCGAGGGGCAUCAGGAAGAAAGCUUGCUUUCUUUGCUGGCGACCGGCGCACGGGUGAGUAACACGUAUCCAACCUGCCCUUUACUCGGGGAUAGCCUUUCGAAAGAAAGAUUAAUACCCGAUAGUAUAAUGAUUCCGCAUGGUUUCAUUAUUAAAGGAUUCCGGUAAAGGAUGGGGAUGCGUUCCAUUAGGUUGUUGGUGAGGUAACGGCUCACCAAGCCUUCGAUGGAUAGGGGUUCUGAGAGGAAGGUCCCCCACAUUGGAACUGAGACACGGUCCAAACUCCUACGGGAGGCAGCAGUGAGGAAUAUUGGUCAAUGGGCGUUAGCCUGAACCAGCCAAGUAGCGUGAAGGAUGAAGGCUCUAUGGGUCGUAAACUUCUUUUAUAUAAGAAUAAAGUGCAGUAUGUAUACUGUUUUGUAUGUAUUAUAUGAAUAAGGAUCGGCUAACUCCGUGCCAGCAGCCGCGGUAAUACGGAGGAUCCGAGCGUUAUCCGGAUUUAUUGGGUUUAAAGGGAGCGUAGGUGGACUGGUAAGUCAGUUGUGAAAGUUUGCGGCUCAACCGUAAAAUUGCAGUUGAUACUGUCAGUCUUGAGUACAGUAGAGGUGGGCGGAAUUCGUGGUGUAGCGGUGAAAUGCUUAGAUAUCACGAAGAACUCCGAUUG